AAGUUUAUUAUAUUAUUUUUUAUGUUUGUUUAUUUCAUUAUUUAAUAGAAAUAACUUUAUUUUAUUUUGUCUUAGUAUAUUUUUGAUGAAUUGAUUAUAAUUAUUAUAGUUAAUUAGUAAUGUAACUGGAUUAUGAAAUAUUAUUUUAAAUUAAUAAAAGUAAAUUUUUUUUAUUGUACCUUUUGUAUCAGGGUUUAUCAAUAUUUUAGUAUAUAUAUAUAUUACUCUCGAUUUAGGUUGAUUUACAAACAAAUUAUAGUUAAUGUAUCAUAAUUAUUAGCAAUUUGUUUAUGGAAAUGAAAUGUUAUUCGUUUCCUAAGGUUUCUAGUUUCUUAAGAAAAAAUUUAAUUUUUUAGGUUUAGUGUUUUAUUUAAUUUUUUAAUUAUUAAUAUUAAACUAUUUAUUUUUUAGGGGAUAAGCUCUAAAACUAAUAUUCUAUAAUUUAUUUAAUCUUAAUAUAAUAAUAAGCUUUAAAUCAGCUAUUUUUGAGAUUACGUUUUAGUUCAUUAUUAUUAAUUAUGAUUUUAUAAUUAUUUUAGAUUUUUUAUUAAGAUAAUUAAUUUAAUAUUUAAAUGUUUGUAAUAAUGAUGGAAUUAGUAUAUUUAUUUUGUUUAUAAUAUUUUUUAUUAUAAAUUUAUUAUAAGGAACUAGGCAAAUUAAUUUCCGCCUGUUUAUCAAAAACAUGUCCUCUUGAUAAUAUUUUGAGGUCUGGCCUGCUCACUGAAAAUUUUAAAGAGCCGCGGUAUUUUGACCGUGCAAAGGUAGCAUAAUCAUUAGUCUCUUAAUUAGAGGCUGGAAUGAAUGGUUUGACGAGAAAUUAACUGUCUCUUAAUAAAUUUUAAAAUUUAACUUUUGAGUUAAAAGGCUUAAAUUUUUCUUAAGGACGAGAAGACCCUAUAGAGCUUAACAUCUAAAUUAGAUAUUUUUUUAAGAUUGUCUUUUUAUAUUUAAUGGUAAUGUUUUGUUGGGGUGACAUGAAGAAUUAAUAAACUCUUUAUUAUAAAAUCAUUAAUUUAUGUUUAUUUUGAUCCAUAAUUUAUGAUCAUAAGAUCAAGUUACCUUAGGGAUAACAGCGUAAUUGUUUUUUAGAGCUCAUAUUGACAAAGCAGAUUGCGACCUCGAUGUUGGAUUAAGAAAAAUUUUGGGUGCAGUAGCUCAAUGAUUAGGUCUGUUCGACCUUUAAAUUCUUACAUGAUCUGAGUUCAGACCGGCGUGAGCCAGGUCGGUUUCUAUCCUAAGAUUUAAUAAAUUCAUAUUAGUACGAAAGGACCUUAUGAAUGGAAUAUUUUUUCUAUUUUGAUUAAAGUUAAUUGUU
rnacentral:rRNA from 1 species